AACGAACGCUGGCGGCAGGCCUAACACAUGCAAGUCGAGCGAGGACUUCGGUUCUAGCGGCGGACGGGUGAGUAACGCGUGGGAAUGUGCCCUUCUCUACGGAAUAGCCCUGGGAAACUGGGAGUAAUACCGUAUACGCCCUAUUGGGGAAAGAUUUAUCGGAGAAGGAUCAGCCCGCGUUGGAUUAGGUAGUUGGUGGGGUAAUGGCCUACCAAGCCGACGAUCCAUAGCUGGUUUGAGAGGAUGAUCAGCCACACUGGGACUGAGACACGGCCCAGACUCCUACGGGAGGCAGCAGUGGGGAAUCUGAGACAAUGGGGGCAACCCUGAUCUAGCCAGGCCGCGUGAGUGAUGAAGGCCUUAGGGUUGUAAAGCUCUUUCAGCGGGGAAGAUAAUGACGGUACCAGCAGAAGAAGCCCCGGCUAACUCCGU
rnacentral:rRNA from 1 species